rnacentral:rRNA from 1 species
GACGAACGCUGGCGGCGUGCCUAACACAUGCAAGUCGAACGGAAAGGCCCUGCUUUUGUGGGGUGCUCGAGUGGCGAACGGGUGAGUAACACGUGAGUAACCUGCCCUUGACUUUGGGAUAACUUCAGGAAACUGGGGCUAAUACCGGAUAGGAGCUCCUGCUGCAUGGUGGGGUUGGAAAGUUUCGGCGGUUGGGGAUGGACUCGCGGCUUAUCAGCUUGUUGGUGGGGUAGUGGCUUACCAAGGCUUUGACGGGUAGCCGGCCUGAGAGGGUGACCGGCCACAUUGGGACUGAGAUACGGCCCAGACUCCUACGGGAGGCAGCAGUGGGGAAUAUUGCACAAUGGGCGGAAGCCUGAUGCAGCAACGCCGCGUGCGGGAUGACGGCCUUCGGGUUGUAAACCGCUUUCGCCUGUGACGAAGCGUGAGUGACGGUAAUGGGUAAAGAAGCACCGGCUAACUACGUG